rnacentral:tRNA from 1 species
UUUAAGUAUUUUAUGUAAAAUAAAGAUUUGUGGAAUCUUAGAUGCUAAAUUUUUUUAGUCUUAAAU